rnacentral:rRNA from 1 species
UACGGAGGGUGCAAGCGUUGUCCGGAUUUAUUGGGUUUAAAGGGUGCGUAGGCGGCUAAUUAAGUCAGCGGUGAAAUUCCAGAGCUCAACUCUGCGAACUGCCAUUGAUACUGGUUGGCUUGAGUACAGAUGAGGUAGGCGGAAUUGACAGUGUAGCGGUGAAAUGCUUAGAUAUUGUCAAGAACACCUAUUGCGAAGGCAGCUUACUAAACUGUAACUGACGCUGAGGCACGAAAGCGUGGGGAUCAAACAGG